CGGCGAAGGCGGCGGCGUGCCAGGCGCAGGGCUGGGAGGCGCAGGCGACGGCGGGGGCACACCCGGCGCGGGGCUGGGCGGCUCCGGCGAAGGUGGCGGAGUACCAGGCGCAGGGCUGGGAGGCGCAGGCGACGGCGGGGGCACACCCGGCGCAGGGCUGGGCGGCUCCGGCGAAGGCGGCGGCGUGCCAGGCGCAGGGCUAGGAGGCGCAGGCGACGGAGGGGGCACACCCGGCGCGGGGCUAGGCGGCUCCGGCGAAGGUGGCGGCGUACCAGGCGCAGGGCUGGGAGGCGCAGGCGACGGCGGGGGCACACCCGGCGCGGGGCUGGGCGGCUGCGGCGAAGGUGGCGGCGUACCAGGCGCAGGGCUGGGAGGCGCAGGCGACGGCGGGGGCACACCCGGCGCGGGGCUAGGCGGCUCCGGCGAAGGCGGCGGAGUACCAGGCGCAGGGCUGGGAGGCGCAGGCGACGGCGGGGGCACACCCGGCGCGGGGCUAGGCGGCUCCGGCGAAGGCGGCGGAGUACCAGGCGCAGGGCUGGGAGGCGCAGGCGACGGCGGGGGCACACCCGGCGCGGGGCUAGGCGGCUCCGGCGAAGGUGGCGGAGUACCAGGCGCAGGGCUGGGAGGCGCAGGCGACGGCGGGGGCACACCAGGUCCGGGGCUGGGCGGCUCCGGCGAAGGUGGCGGCGUGCCAGGCGCAGGGCUGGGAGGCGCAGGCGACGGCGGGGGCACACCCGGCGCGGGGCUGGGCGGCUGCGGAGAAGGAGGCGGCGUGCCAGGCGCAGGGCUGGGAGGCGCAGGCGACGGCGGGGGCACACCCGGCGCGGGGCUGGGCGGCUCCGGCGAAGGCGGCGGCGCGCCAGGCGCAGGGCUGGGAGGCGCAGGCGACGGCGGGGGCACACCCGGCGCGGGGCUAGGCGGCUCUGGCGAAGGCGGCGGCGUGCCAGGCGCAGGGCUGGGAGGCGCAGGCGACGGAGGGGGCACACCCGGCGCGGGGCUGGGCGGCUCCGGCGAAGGCGGCGGCGUGCCAGGCGCAGGGCUGGGAGGCGCAGGCGACGGAGGGGGCACACCCGGCGCGGGGCUGGGCGGCUCCGGCGAAGGCGGCGGCGUGCCAGGCGCAGGGCUGGGAGGCGCAGGCGACGGCGGGGGCACACCCGGCGCGGGGCUGGGCGGCUCCGGCGAAGGCGGCGGCGUGCCAGGCGCAGGGCUGGGAGGCGCAGGCGACGGCGGGGGCACACCCGGCGCGGGGCUAGGCGGCUCCGGCGAAGGCGGCGGAGUACCAGGCGCAGGGCUGGGAGGCGCAGGCGACGGCGGGGGCACACCAGGUCCGGGGCUGGGCGGCUCCGGCGAAGGAGGCGGCGUGCCAGGCGCAGGGCUGGGAGGCGCAGGCGACGGCGGGGGCACACCCGGCGCGGGGCUGGGCGGCUCCGGCGAAGGCGGCGGAGUACCAGGCGCAGGGCUGGGAGGCGCAGGCGACGGCGGGGGCACACCCGGCGCGGGGCUAGGCGGCUCCGGCGAAGGCGGCGGAGUACCAGGCGCAGGGCUGGGAGGCGCAGGCGACGGCGGGGGCACACCCGGCGCGGGGCUAGGCGGCUCCGGCGAAGGCGGCGGCGUACCAGGCGCAGGGCUGGGAGGCGCAGGCGACGGCGGGGGCACACCCGGCGCGGGGCUAGGCGGCUCCGGCGAAGGUGGCGGCGUACCAGGCGCAGGGCUGGGAGGCGCAGGCGACGGCGGGGGCACACCCGGCGCGGGGCUGGGCGGCUCCGGCGAAGGAGGCGGCGUGCCAGGCGCAGGGCUGGGAGGCGCAGGCGACGGAGGGGGCACACCCGGCGCGGGGCUGGGCGGCUCCGGCGAAG
rnacentral:lncRNA from 1 species